AAAAAAUUUCUCUGCUCAAUGAUUUUUUAAAUUGCUGUGGUCUGCGUAAAUCUUCGCCUAAGUGUUGCAAAAAGGGGAAUUGGUUUAUGGGGUUUAACGUCGCAAAGCGACUCAGGCUAUGAGGGAUUUCGUAGCGAAGGGCUCUGGAAAUUUCGACCACCUGGGCUUCUUUAACCCCCCCCCCCCCAAGAUUUUAAAUUGCUGUGGUAUUUUGACUAUACAAAGGUAUUGAAAUAAGACUUUAAUUGAGUGCUAAGAGAAUGGAAUUACAGGAAAAAUCUUUUUUAAACUUAACAAUUAAAGUUAUUUUUACUUGUGAAGAAGCAGUAAUAAAAAUUAAGGACAAGAAGACCCUAAGAAUUUUUCGAUACAUAUUUCAAUAAAGAAAAUAUGUUUCUUUAAUUGGGGCGAUUAAUUAAUAUUAAAAACUUUUUUGAAAAAACAUGAACCGUUUAAUAGCGGUAAAUUGGUAAAAAUACUCUAGGGAUAACAGCGUAAUAAUUUUUGAUAGUUCAUAUUGACAAAAAUAGUUUGCGACCUCGAUGUUGGGAUUAGGAUAUUUUUUUAAAUGAAGGAAGUAAAAAAAAAAAGUUG
rnacentral:rRNA from 1 species